rnacentral:rRNA from 1 species
UGGGGAAUCUUGCGCAAUGGGCGAAAGCCUGACGCAGCGACGCCGCGUGCGGGAGGAAGCUCUUCGGGGUGUAAACCGCUGUCAGGGGGGAAGAACGGCUUCGGGAGGCAAUGCCCGGCGAUUGACGGUACCCCCAGAGGAAGCACCGGCUAACUCCGUGCCAGCAGCCGCGGUAAUACAGAGGGUGCGAGCGUUGUUCGGAAUUACUGGGCGUAAAGCGCGCGCAGGCGGCGUUCUAAGUCUGACGGUCAAAUGCCGGGGCUCAACCCCGCGCGUGCCGCGGAUACUGGGAGGCUGGAGACAGGUAGAGGCAAGCGGAAUUCCGGGUGUAGCGGUGGAAUGCGUAGAGAUCCGGAAGAACACCGGAGGCGAAGGCGGCUUGCUGGGCCUGGUCUGACGCUGAGGCGCGAAAGCGUGGGGAGCGAAC